UACGUAGGGGGCUAGCGUUGUCCGGAUUUAUUGGGCGUAAAGAGCGUGUAGGCGGCCAGGUAGGUCUGCUGUGAAAACUCGAGGCUCAACCUCGAGACGUCGGCGGAAACCAUCUGGCUAGAGUCCGGAAGAGGAGAGUGGAAUUCCUGGUGUAGCGGUGAAAUGCGCAGAUAUCAGGAGGAACACCGAUGGCGAAGGCAGCUCGCUGGGACGGUACUGACGCUGAGACGCGAAAGCGUGGGGAGCGAACAGG
rnacentral:rRNA from 1 species